rnacentral:tRNA from 1 species
GUUUAUAUAGUUUAAUAAAAACGCUACAUUUUCAAUGUAGAGAUAAAAUUUUAUAUUUUUAUAAAUU